AUUGAACGCUGGCGGCAGGCCUAACACAUGCAAGUCGAACGAGUGGCGGACGGGUGAGUAAUGUUUGGGAAUCUACCUUAUGGAGGGGGAUAACUACGGGAAACUGUAGCUAAUACCGCAUACCAUCGGAUGAGCCCAUAUGGGAUUAGGUAGUUGGUGAGGUAACGGCUCACCAAGCCGACGAUCCCUAGCUGGUCUGAGAGGAUGACCAGCCACACUGGGACUGAGACACGGCCCAGACUCCUACGGGAGGCAGCAGUGGGGAAUAUUGCGCAAUGGGGGCAACCCUGACGCAGCCAUGCCGCGUGAAUGAAGAAGGCCUUCGGGUUGUAAAGUACUUUCAGUAGCGAGGCGUUAACGACAGAAGAAGCACCGGCUAACUCCGUGCCAGCAGCCGCGGUAAUAC
rnacentral:rRNA from 1 species